GCUUAAGUAUUUUAAUUUAAAAUAUUGUUUUGUGGAAUCAAUGAUAUGAUUAAUAAUCAUCUUAGGUC
rnacentral:tRNA from 1 species